rnacentral:rRNA from 1 species
GUGCCAGCAGCCGCGGUAAUACAGGGGGUGCAAACGUUGCUCGGAAUUAUUGGGCGUAAAGCGCGCGUAGGCGGUUGCUUAAGUCGGAUGUGAAAGCCCUUGGCUUAACCGAGGAAGUGCAUCCGAAACUGAGCAGCUUGAGUAUGACAGAGGGUCGCGGAAUUCCCGGUGUAGAGGUGAAAUUCGUAGAUAUCGGGAGGAACACCGGUGGCGAAGGCGGCGACCUGGGUCAAAACUGACGCUGAGGCGCGAAAGCGUGGGGAGCAAACAGGAUUAGAAACCCCAGUAGUCC